rnacentral:tRNA from 1 species
GGGCCCGUAGCUUAGCCCGGUAGAGCAGCGGUCUUAUACACCGCCGGUCGACAGUUCAAAUCUGUCCGGGCCCA